rnacentral:rRNA from 1 species
UACGGAGGGUGCGAGCGUUGUCCGGAAUCACUGGGCGUAAAGGGCGCGUAGGCGGCCGUGUAAGUCACUUGUGAAAUCCCGGGGCUCAACCCCGGGGCUGCAGGUGAGACUGCGUGGCUAGAGCACGGUAGAGGCGAGUGGAAUUCCCGGUGUAGCGGUGGAAUGCGUAGAUAUCGGGAAGAACACCGGUGGCGAAGGCGGCUCGCUGGGCCGUUGCUGACGCUGAUGCGCGAAAGCGUGGGGAGCAAACAGG